GACGAACGCUGACGGCGUGCUUAACACAUGCAAGUCGAACGGUGAAGCGCCUUCCUUUUUGGUGGGUGUGGAUGAGUGGCGAACGGGUGAGUAACACGUGAGUAACCUGCCCCCUUCUUCUGGAUAACCGCAUGAAAGUGUGGCUAAUACGGGAUAUUCUGGGUCUGUCGCAUGAUGGGUCUGGGAAAGAUAUUGUUUCGGUGGGGGAUGGGCUCGCGGCCUAUCAGCUGGUUGGUGGGGUGAUGGCCUACCAAGGCGGUGACGGGUAGCCGGCCUGAGAGGGUGGACGGUCACACUGGGACUGAGACACGGCCCAGACUCCUACGGGAGGCAGCAGUGGGGAAUAUUGCACAAUGGGCGCAAGCCUGAUGCAGCGACGCCGCGUGAGGGAUGGAGGCCUUCGGGUUGUGAACCUCUUUCGCCAGUGAAGCAGGCCUGCCUCGUUUGUGGGUGGGUUGACGGUAGCUGGAUAAGAAGCGCCGGCUAACUACGUG
rnacentral:rRNA from 1 species